rnacentral:misc_RNA from 1 species
AAGUCGUAACAGGGUUUCCGUAGGUGAACCUGCGGAAGGAUCAUUAUCGAGUAUUCGGAUUGCCUCUCGGGGUCCCGUUCUCUCCAACCCACUGUUUACAAACCACGUUGCCUCGGCGGGCCAGUGGCUUCGGUCGCCUUUGGUUCUCUCUACGGAGAACUCUCGAGCGCUCGCCGACGGGAUCACACAAAACUCGAUGUUAAAACAUGUCAAUUCUGAAACAAACGUAAAUACUUCAAAA